rnacentral:rRNA from 1 species
CAGCCGCCACGGGAAUACAGAGGGUGCAAGCGUUAAUCGGAAUUACUGGGCGUAAAGCGCGCGUAGGUGGUUCACCAAGUUGGAUGUGAAAUCCCCGGGCUCAACCUGGGAAUGGCAGUGGAUACUGGCAAGCUAGAGUGUGUCAGAGGAUGGUGGAAUUCCCGGUGUAGCGGUGAAAUGCGUAGAGAUCGGGAGGAACAUCAGUGGCGAAGGCGGCCAUCUGGGACAACACUGACGCUGAGGCACGAAAGCGUGGGGAGCAAACAGGAUUAGAUACCCGCGUAGUCCCUGUCUCUUAUAC